ACUUAAAUUGAAGAGUUUGAUCAUGGCUCAGAUUGAACGCUGGCGGCAGGCCUAACACAUGCAAGUCGAGCGGUAGCACAGAGAGCUUGCUCUCGGGUGACGAGCGGCGGACGGGUGAGUAAUGUCUGGGAAACUGCCUGAUGGAGGGGGAUAACUACUGGAAACGGUAGCUAAUACCGCAUAACGUCGCAAGACCAAAGUGGGGGACCUUCGGGCCUCAUGCCAUCAGAUGUGCCCAGAUGGGAUUAGCUAGUAGGUGGGGUAAUGGCUCACCUAGGCGACGAUCCCUAGCUGGUCUGAGAGGAUGACCAGCCACACUGGAACUGAGACACGGUCCAGACUCCUACGGGAGGCAGCAGUGGGGAAUAUUGCACAAUGGGCGCAAGCCUGAUGCAGCCAUGCCGCGUGUGUGAAGAAGGCCUUCGGGUUGUAAAGCACUUUCAGCGGGGAGGAAGGCGAUAAGGUUAAUAACCUUGUCGAUUGACGUUACCCGCAGAAGAAGCACCGGCUAACUCCGUGCCAGCAGCCGCGGUAAUACGGAGGGUGCAAGCGUUAAUCGGAAUUACUGGGCGUAAAGCGCACGCAGGCGGUCUGUCAAGUCGGAUGUGAAAUCCCCGGGCUUAACCUGGGAACUGCAUUCGAAACUGGCAGGCUAGAGUCUUGUAGAGGGGGGUAGAAUUCCAGGUGUAGCGGUGAAAUGCGUAGAGAUCUGGAGGAAUACCGGUGGCGAAGGCGGCCCCCUGGACAAAGACUGACGCUCAGGUGCGAAAGCGUGGGGAGCAAACAGGAUUAGAUACCCUGGUAGUCCACGCCGUAAACGAUGUCGAUUUGGAGGUUGUGCCCUUGAGGCGUGGCUUCCGGAGCUAACGCGUUAAAUCGACCGCCUGGGGAGUACGGCCGCAAGGUUAAAACUCAAAUGAAUUGACGGGGGCCCGCACAAGCGGUGGAGCAUGUGGUUUAAUUCGAUGCAACGCGAAGAACCUUACCUGGUCUUGACAUCCACAGAACUUUCCAGAGAUGGAUUGGUGCCUUCGGGAACUGUGAGACAGGUGCUGCAUGGCUGUCGUCAGCUCGUGUUGUGAAAUGUUGGGUUAAGUCCCGCAACGAGCGCAACCCUUAUCCUUUGUUGCCAGCGGUCCGGCCGGGAACUCAAAGGAGACUGCCAGUGAUAAACUGGAGGAAGGUGGGGAUGACGUCAAGUCAUCAUGGCCCUUACGACCAGGGCUACACACGUGCUACAAUGGCAUAUACAAAGAGAAGCGACCUCGCGAGAGCAAGCGGACCUCAUAAAGUAUGUCGUAGUCCGGAUUGGAGUCUGCAACUCGACUCCAUGAAGUCGGAAUCGCUAGUAAUCGUAGAUCAGAAUGCUACGGUGAAUACGUUCCCGGGCCUUGUACACACCGCCCGUCACACCAUGGGAGUGGGUUGCAAAAGAAGUAGGUAGCUUAACCUUCGGGAGGGCGCUUACCACUUUGUGAUUCAUGACUGGGGUGAAGUCGUAACAAGGUAACCGUAGGGGAACCUGCGGUUGGAUCACCUCCUUACCUUAAAGAA
rnacentral:rRNA from 2 species